UAGGGAAUCUUCCACAAUGGGCGCAAGCCUGAUGGAGCAACACCGCGUGAGUGAAGAAGGGUUUCGGCUCGUAAAGCUCUGUUGUUAAAGAAGAACACGUAUGAGAGUAACUGUUCAUACGUUGACGGUAUUUAACCAGAAAGUCACGGCUAACUACGUGCCAGCAGCCGCGGUAAUACGUAGGUGGCAAGCGUUAUCCGGAUUUAUUGGGCGUAAAGAGAGUGCAGGCGGUUUUCUAAGUCUGAUGUGAAAGCCUUCGGCUUAACCGGAGAAGUGCAUCGGAAACUGGAUAACUUGAGUGCAGAAGAGGGUAGUGGAACUCCAUGUGUAGCGGUGGAAUGCGUAGAUAUAUGGAAGAACACCAGUGGCGAAGGCGGCUACCUGGUCUGCAACUGACGCUGAGACUCGAAAGCAUGGGUAGCGAACAGGAUUAGAUACCCUGGUAGUCCAUGCCGUAACGAUGAGUGCUAGGUGUUGGAGGGUUUCCGCCCUUCAGUGCCGGAGCUAACGCAUUANCACUCCGCCUGGGGAGUACGACCGCAAGGUU
rnacentral:rRNA from 1 species